ACAAGAUGCACUAAUUUUAGGACU
rnacentral:miRNA from 1 species